UCGGCAAUUCAACUGUCAAAUUUGCUAGAAAGUGCCGAGCUGUUCGGUUAGAUGUUGAGGUAGCCAUAUUUGUUUUCGAUAUGAGUAGUGCUCACUGAACUAAGUUCCGGAACUUUGGAUAAAUCGGGAUUUAUACUUGAAUUUCUACAGGAUUUCUGCUUGGAUUUCUACUUGAAAGCUUUUACCAAGGAAAUGCAUGACGAUGGUGCUUGGUAGAAGUAUAGGAUUCAUUCUGGUUCAGAUUGUAUUAGAUUAUACAUAAAAGAGCAAUAAAUAUAAAAAAGCAUGCAUGCAUAUUGUUUUAAAGCUUUAAAUUAAUUGCGAGAAUCUCGAUUUGGUUUUAUUAUGAUAAAUGCCGAGAUUUUCGGUUGAAUUCGUUUCAGGGAUGCCGAGAUUUUCGGCACAAAAAAGCUGGCUGUCAAAAUUAUUUUUGCCGAGACUUCGGUAGAUGAAUUUUCUGCCGAACUCUCUGCCGAGCGCUCAGUUGUUCUGUUUUCGGCAGAAUUCUGCCGAAGUUCGGCAUAAAAAACUGAGUGUGUA